GGGGAUGUAGCUCAGCGGGAGAGCACCUGCUUUGCAAGCAGGGGGUCAGCGGUUCGAAUCCGCUCAUCUCCACCA
rnacentral:tRNA from 1 species